UGGAAAAACUGGCUUCUCAUUUUGUGGAUGCAGUCCAUGUACAGGGAUUCUGACCUGUGAAUCUUCUCUGUAAUAACCACAAAGUGAGAAUUCUUAAGCAUAUUUCAUAGAAGUGAAGGACAGAGUGUGAAAAAAUUUCAGAAUAGGUGCAAUAUAGGUGGUGAUAACUGUGGUGGUGAUAACUGUGAAGGUAGAGAGCAUUCCUAUCUCUUCCUGAGACUCCAAAAAGAUGCUAGAGAGUGAUUCCAGCUUGCAAGGUGACUGUGGAACAGCUCUGAUGCAGCCUCAGGAAAUUACCCUUCUUGUGGGCUGCAACUACAUCCCCAACAAGAUCUGGCCCCGAUCCUGGAAAACCAAUCAUUAACAGCUUUCAUUUCAGAAAGCCAAGCAAUUUAUAUGGACUCACUCCCAUAAACACAAUUCUGAGUGUCAACCAAUUGAGAACAAUUUUGUUGGAGUAAUCACAUUUUGGCAGCGAAUGUCAACCUACUUAAACUUCUGAAAGGUCACCAAUCCCUGACUUUUAAGCUUCCAAAAAUUCUGGUAUAAAUCCAGCAGCUUGCUCUUUUUAGAGAGGCUAUACCUGACCAGCAUAUCUCUAUUCACUAUAGUAAGCAAUAAGCACAACAUGUUUUUUCUUUCAAAUAUUGAGUGGUGAUUUCUUCAUAAUUUGACAGUAUCAUUUAUCCCAUGGAAGAACAAGUAGUUAUAUAUCUUAUUCUGGAAUUCCUUUUGAGCAUUAGAGCAAUCUUCCCCAAAAACUGCGAACUUAAAAAAAAUAAUAAUAUUCUCUAUUCAACAGUAGGUGGAAAAUCAAACUCAGAAACAUUUUAGCAGAAUUUAUUUUGCUGGGUUUUUUUCCUCCUAAACUUAGCAUUGUUAUCUGGAUACAAUCAAGAUACUUUAUUUCACAGCCAACGUCAUGUAACAACUUUUUGUAACAUUACUCAGCUCGUAGCUUUUCUCUUUCGGAAAAAGUGUUUGGAAAGCAGAAUUAAAAACGAACUUGAGGGCCAGGCGCAGUGGCUCACGCCUGUAAUCCCAACAUUUUGGGAGUCUGAGGCGGGUGGAUCACGAGGUCAGGAGACCGAGACCAUCCUGGCUAAUACAGUGAGACCCCGUCUCUACUAAAAAUACAAAAAAUUAGCCAUGCAUGGUGGCACGUGCCAAGUCCCAGCUACCGGGGAGGCUGAGGCAGGAGAAUCGCUUGAACCUGGGAGGCAGAGGUUGCAGUGAGCCGAGAUUGUGCCACUGCACUCCAGCCUGAGCAACAGAGUGAGACUCCAUCUCAAAAAAUAAAAAAAUAAAAUAAAAAUUAAAAGUCAACAUUUAAAAGACU
rnacentral:lncRNA from 10 species